AAAACCCUCGCCACUCAUGAAGAACUGAGGCAAAAGGAUCACAGAUGCUGCUCGGGGCCAGCCCUAUACUCCCUCCAGUGCCUGGUCUCCGGUGGACCCGCGGGGCUCUGCAGUUCUCUGGCGGCCGCGCCUUGUAAGCGCUAAGCCGGGAGGAGGGCGCAGGCAGGGCGCACAGCUCUGAGCGCGACCCUACCCGGCUCGGGCCCGCAGCAACCCCGACUGUCCGAGAGCCUCUCCCCAAGCAAGGCUCUGCGCCGCCCUCUGAGCCCACCUCCUGGCCACAACGCUGCCUGCGCUUCUCCAGCCCAGGCCGGAAGCCCUAUGCUGCCUCCCGAAGCCGGACUUUCUGGAAGCCCAUCUUCGUAUGCUCACCAGCCCACCCUCCUACGCUGGUCAGAGUGAGAUUGCUAACCUCAAGACCCCAUUCAAUGCCAGCUUUCAACUACUGCUGAAGACCAAUGUAGGUCCUGGAAUAGAAGAACUGCAGAGUCUUGGCUUUUGCUUUUGUGUGUCCACCUCGAGCAGAUCCGGAGCUGGCCGACCCCAGACUGAUUCUCAACAGGUGGCUGGAUGCAGACAAAAGCUACCAUGUCCGCUUGGAGUGACGCCCAGACACGCACAGAGAUGUACAGGAAGCCAAGGAGAGUGGGAUCCACCAGAGUACAGUACAAGUACAGAGUACAGUGCAAGAUGCCCAGUGGCCCUGGAGAAAAACCUUCGUUGACUCUUCUGUAUGGAAAGUUUCUGAAGAAAGGGCCAAGGAAUGAUCUGCCCCAGAGGCUGCCUUUAGGCUCCCAUACCUGCUCUGUUUGGAGACACCCAGAAGAGGCCAGUACAGCAAAGACUCUUUUUGGUUUGGUUAUUUCUGUUGCUUGUUGUCUUUUUUUCAUCCUUUGCCUGGGAAAUUGUGCUCUGGAAUAGGGCUUGAGUAGACAGCACAGGCCUCCAGUAGAUAACAAGAGAUUCUCAAUCUCCAAUGAGGACAUUCCGUUCUAAGGAAGCUUCCAGAUAGGGGAAAGCCCUGUUUUGUCCCCCUUUUCUCCUCUGAGAUCUGAAAAAAUAGAAAGAAAAAAAAAGAAAAACAAAACAAAUAUAAAAACUAUAGCCCAAUCCCAUGUACAUCAAAUAAAUCCACAAGGAAUAUGCUAGAUCAAGCUAAAUUAUGUAUUUAACUCAUUUUCUUUUGUGAGAUACUGAGAAGUCUUCAACUUCCUCUAUUCCAGGCAGGGAUCGAGGACCUGGCCUGGCAGAGGUUCCACCACCAGGGUUUCCCACAGUGGUUCUGGGACUAGGCGUAAGGUGUCCUGACUUGUUUUCUCUGUCACCUCUUCUGGGGAACUGGGGAACUGUCCCAGACAAUGGCUGCCCCAGUUCCCUCUAGAAGAGACAGCCCCCACCCCCAGAACCCGUUGCCCUCCAACCUCACCUCAUUUUCUCUUGAGCUCAUUCUCCGAGCUCUUAAAGUAGUAGGUGUGAGUCUUGGACCAUUUCUUUAAAAGAAACAACUAAGGAAAGGGAGGGAGGGGAGGAGGGAGGAGGGGAGCGGGAAGGAGAGCUACCUCCUAGACUAACGCGUCCAGGAACCACUCUCUAAGGAGCAAAAGAGAGCCUGUGUUGUAAAGUAGAAGUGAUCCCCCGACAUUGCUGCAGGGCGCCUUGCAACAGAUGUAACUGUCCACUGAAGAGACAGAGGGUGGGCAUGGGGAAGAUUUUUUUUCCUCCCUUUUGUGAACAGCUCUUACACUUUUCCAAGACACAUUGAGUUCCUGGACAUUUUUGUGAAUUUGUUCUUGAUUGUGUUUUGAACAAUAAACUGUGAAAAUCAACUUCAAGCCCACACAAUCAGAAUCUUUCUUGGGAGGGCAGGUUCUUUCAGCGCUGUUUUUCUCCAGGUCGCUUUUAUCUUACCCCCAAUGGGAGUCACCUGCUGAUGCUCCUCGGGAGGAGACUGUAACUGAAAGACGGAAGUGAAUGCAGACACAGCAUCCUCUGAGCCAAACCGUUGCUUUGGUUCCUUCUAGCUUAGGAUGCCGAACACUGGCUGGCUUUGAACACCCUCUACUUCGCUAAGAAGUUUAGAGCCUUUCUCACAACAAACCACAGCGUUUUAGAACUGGAAAUGUUUCUUCUGAUUUUCCAGUCUUAGGACAAUUUUCGAACUCUAACUUAAAAAAAAAUUUGUUUAUGGGGGUUUAGCUAGAACACUUGUAGCAUUCGCUUCUCAAGGAAAGAUCAACUGUUUUCUCAUAACCCCAACUGCUCCACACACUUCAUAGGAUAUAAUGUAUUUUCUUUACUUAUCCUUGUGCCUUCUGCCCAGGACAUAGAACUAGGGGCAAAACUUUGGAGGUCUAUGACCUCUUGAUAGCACCUGUAAUUGUUAGGCUUUUGUUCUUGUGCCUUGUAAAUCUCUCAUGUACGUCUAUGAAAAUAUGCAUUGCAUGGGUGUGAUCCUAUCAAGUUGUCCACACUUUCUCAACAACCACUGAUGAGUGAAACCAUUUCUAUUGCCCAGGGCAAAGGGCUAAUCGCCUUGUGGGUCUAGAGUUGUCAUAGGAUAAUAUCCGGUGUGUGUGUGAUAUGACAGUUAUUACUUUCAAGAAUAAAUUAAAAUAACCAGAUACCCCUUUAAUACUUUCCUCAACAGCGUCAAUGCUCUAGAGAUGGGACCUCGCCUUCCAAGGUGUCUUCACUAUCACAGGGCCCGGGCUCUCUGCCUCAGCCCAACCCUGGGCUUGCGCUCAGAGAGGAGGUAUUCCGACGGAAAAAAAUCCCAUACAUUUUUAACUACAGUGAUUACUAAAUUAAUAGCAGGCACCAAGACAGAUGUCAAAACGUCUUGAAAAUGUUUAUCUGUGAAUAAUUGAGAAGGUAGUGGGACGCAUUAUCUGAUUGUGUAAUGAAAUAUGUAUGAGGAACAGCUGUUUGCAGCAGCCCCUUCCCCUUGCCGCCUUAGCCAGGGCCCUUCUCUCGCAAGCUUUCUUCUACUUUCUUCCACCUUUUUCUUCCUUCUACUUUCUAGUUCGCUCUCUUCUUCCUUAACUGCUCGCACGGCUUUGGCUGCAGUGAACCCAGAGUCGCCUGGUUCUCUGAUGAAGGUUAGCCACAAGGUUUCCUCUAAGCCUUGCUGGAUUGGCGUUCCGUAGUGGGAUGAGGCUUCGUUGUCUGCUGUUCUGGCCAUCGCGCCUUCCGGCCAGGCUGCCCGCUGGGUCUCCAUGGAGUCUGCGGG
rnacentral:lncRNA from 1 species